UGGUCGCAAAAAUACAGUCAUACUAUAUCGAUCGAUGUGUAAUCGAUGAAUCUAAUAAUGGCUUGAGCCGCUAUUAUUCAAGAUCGACGCCUGUGUAGCAUGCGGUCAGAAUCCACUCGUGAAAUCAACGCGGUUGAGAAAAGAUAUAUAUUCCCCUUUACAAACUGGCGAAACGUUUCGUUGGUGGUAGGCGGCCGAGCGUGGGUCUCGGUGGCCUCUCUACCGCGAUUUAAAUAUUUAACUCCGCUUAAACAUGAGCAAGAGCCAACCGUUACUCGCGCGAGCGAUAAUUUUCAUCCGCGGGUAAACUCGCUUGGGAAAAUCGACCGACCGCGUGAAUCAUCCUCCCACCUGAUUUCCAACCUAGCUGAUGAGAAUCAAUGGGAAAAUCUGAUUGGCACUCUUGGUUUUGCAUUUGUUAGGUUAGUAAUAGAUAAAGUGUACACGAAGCCAAAUUUUUAAUACUAUGGCCUACUGGCUGUAAAUUAAGAAGAAAAGAUCACAUUUCCAAUUUACCGACGGUAAGGAAGAGAGUCAAGAAUUGUACGUCGUAAGUCAAAGUAAAGAUUGUAUGUAAACGAUUCGAAAUGCGAAAAUGCACGGAUACAUUGUAAACAGUAAACUGAACUGAAUUGAUAUAAAUAAAGAUAUUACGUUCGAAGAUGAAUUUUACGAUUGAAAAUAACUGUGUUAUUAUAUAUAUUAUACAUAUUUAAUAAUAAAAAUUACAUGAAAUCGUCACGUGACACGUAAAUGUACACUUCGGGAGAAAUCGGAAAAAUUCGGGUAGGAUCGGAAUCUUGAAACAUGGUUGAUGAUUUCGUGUCAAUUUGGCAAUAAUUGGAUGCAGUAGUCUAUAUAAUAUUAAUUUUAUUAUAAAAUUAAAUUUUUUCAUAUUCCGUAAAUAACCUAUAUCAUUUAAAAGAUUAUCUAACGGAAGAAGACUAGCAAUUGUCACAAAGUAUAAUUCAUCUACCCACAAUUACUUGAGUUUAAAUGGAUUGUUCUCUCGAGGGAUGAAUUAUGUUCCUCAUUAAAACGCCUGUUGAAAAGAUUAUAUAAAAUCAAGUUGGAAAGGUAAAGUACUAAUAUUUUUUUCUCAAAAUCUUUUAAAAAAUAAGAUCUUGUAAAACAAGUACAAUUGAAAUAAUUUUAAUUUAUGAUAUAUUUAUAAUGCCUUCAUUUACAUACACAUAUCUUUAAUAUGUUUUAUACGAUAAAGUUUAAGUGAUUUGGCCUUAUAACAAGAAUAAAUUAUUAAUGCUUCCCAUUUAAAAUAGGGAGUAGCAAUUUAACCUGAACAUCUAAUAUUGUAUAUAUCUUAAAUUUCAAGCUUUCUAUUGUCGAUAAUUGCUGAUGUAUUAUUCAUUUGUUCCAAUCUCGCGCCGGUAUUAACGAGCGAACUAUCGACAAAGUGGGCAUUAAAUAUGUAAAGCUUUUCAACUUUAACAAAAUAUAAAAGUUGUAAAUUAUUUCAUUUUUAACCAUCGGAUAAAAUGAACAAUUUUAUAAUUCUAUCGCAAGAUUUGUAAUCAGAGUUAAUGAUACAAUUUUAUAAUUAAGUAUGAUAUAUUGAACAACUUAUUAAUUUUAAUAAAAAAAAAGAAAAAAAGACAAAAAUUUUUAAAGUAAUCUAAAAUACAUUUUUACAAAAAAAAUAUAUAUAUUUUUUUGCAAGAUAAGCGACACAAGAUAAAUGCCUAUAAAUUUUAACGAAUGAUUUUCAAUAUCCUUGCAAUUGAUCUCGGACAGUUUAAAAUUAAUGCGUGCUAACAACCCUGAGCCCUACUACUAAAAUUUGUAAUUUUGCCAAUAGCUUACGUGACAGCUUAGACUUCUUCGAAUCAAUAGACGCCUUGAAACGUUCUGUCCUUUGAGCUAUUUUAAAUAAACAAUUCUAUAUUUUGCAUUCAUUCUCUAUAAAUUAUCUUUCCAUUCUAUGCUUAAAUAUUAACAGAAGUUAGGAUAAAAAUUUUUCCUAUUACUUUCUUCGUUCCAUAGUUAAAAAAAAAAAUCUUUUCCAAUUUUCCAAAUUUCUAGAUACAAUAUUCUAUCUAUGAUAAAUUGAAAAUUAAAAUACUCUUAUUUUCAUAAAUUAGAGAUAGAAUAUUUUAAUAUAUAUGAUAAAUUUUCUAUCCUUCAUCCUUGAAAUUUCGAAACGAAAAACAUACGUCUCUGGAUGGCUCGGUUAGCCAUCGGAAGCUGAGUCGAGGGCCGGAAACGAGAUAAUCGAAAUUGCACGCGCGCCAAGAACCUCUUGGAUUGGGACUUUGCGUAGAAAGCGAAAUGCGCUCGAAUCCCGACGCAUCCGGUCUCGAGCCACUUGCCAAAAUCCCCACCAUUGUGGAAACUUCAUUCAUGACUCGUCCCGUGCAGGUGUGCUCGUUUAUUAAGUCACUGGGUAGGGGAAACGUAACGCGCAAAAAUAUCAGCCUUUGAUCCUACAAUAAAAGGAAAAUGCAAUCCACCGUUCUUGUUAUUAUUUCGAACCAGCUUUAUCCUAUCUUAAUGCUCGAAACUAUUAUCUCUCAAUUCACGUGACUCGUCACGAAAAUAAAUAAACAAAGGCACGCACACACAUAUUCACUAUAUAUAGAAAACACUAUCUGUUAAAAUAAACAUAUAAGAAUUGUGAAUAAUUGAUACGUGAUUAUUA